AACCCUAAUCCCCUCAUUUCUUAAAAAAAUUCCGCCGCCUCUCCACUCUCUGUCUCUACAAACCCUCUAUUCUCUACCUUCUCUCUAAAAAAAACCAUUCUCGACCUCCAUCGCCGCUCUGCCUCGUCGACCUCCGUAUCCGCUCCGCCUCCCUCCGUUGAUCUCUCAACAGAAGCCUCCCAGCGUCGCCACCAUCUCUCCUUCUCAAACAGUCGUCGUCGCCGCUCUCUCCGUCACCGGUGGUAUCCCAUGUCAAAAGAAGUUAAUGAGGCUGUAAGUGAGAGCGUUAUGAGAUUUUUUACAUAUCCUUGGCAUGAGUGGUGGGACAUUCCAAUAGUCUCUAAACAAGUCAUGUUUCCAAGAGCUUAAGACAAUGUGUUGUUGGUUGGCAAAGCACGAUUAAGCCAUUUCUACAAUUUUUGAGAGACAUGCUGCUAUGUUACAUCAGAUUGCACAUCUUAGACGUGUCUUAACAUACGUCGUUGCUCCCGAUUCAAGUAGCGAAGAGGAAACAGAGAGUGAUGCGGAGUUUGUUGGGGCUAUUCCUUUGUGUUGUUGGAUUUGACCUUUAGAUAAUUUUUAGAUAUUUUUGAACUUAGCUUUUAAUUAGUGGAAAAUCUUUAGGAGUGUUUUAAGUAUUUUGAAUGUUGUUAGAUUCAUUGUUUAAGUAUUGUUGAUUUGAAUUGCUUAAAUGAUUUAUCGAUGUAUUGUGUUUGAUUAUUGUAAUAAUGUGUUGCAUGAGGAUGUA